GACGAACGCUGGCGGCGUGCUUAACACAUGCAAGUCGAACGGAAAGGCCCUGCUUUUGUGGGGUGCUCGAGUGGCGAACGGGUGAGUAACAUGUGAGUAACCUGCCCUUGACUUUGGGAUAACUUCAGGAAACUGGGGCUAAUACCGGAUAGGAGCUCCUGCUGCAUGGGGGGGGUUGGAAAGUUUCGGCGGUUGGGGAUGGACUCGCGGCUUAUCAGCUUGUUGGUGGGGUAGUGGCUUACCAAGGCUUUGACGGGUAGCCGGCCUGAGAGGGUGACCGGCCACAUUGGGACUGAGAUACGGCCCAGACUCCUACGGGAGGCAGCAGUGGGGAAUAUUGCACAAUGGGCGGAAGCCUGAUGCAGCAACGCCGCGUGCGGGAUGACGGCCUUCGGGUUGUAAACCGCUUUCGCCUGUGACGAAGCGUGAGUGACGGUAAUGGGUAAAGAAGCACCGGCUAACUACGUG
rnacentral:rRNA from 1 species